GAGGGUGUAGCUCAGUGGUCGAGUGCGUGCUUAGCAUGCACGAGGUCCUGGGUUCAAUCCCCAGUACCUCCA
rnacentral:tRNA from 1 species